rnacentral:rRNA from 1 species
UACGUAGGGCGCAAGCGUUAUCCGGAAUUAUUGGGCGUAAAGAGCUCGUAGGCGGUUUGUCGCGUCUGCCGUGAAAGUCCGGGGCUCAACUCCGGAUCUGCGGUGGGUACGGGCAGACUAGAGUGAUGUAGGGGAGACUGGAAUUCCUGGUGUAGCGGUGAAAUGCGCAGAUAUCAGGAGGAACACCGGUGGCGAAGGCGGGUCUCUGGGCCGAUACUGACGCUGAGACGCGAAAGCGUGGGGAGCGAACGGG